CGCGGGGUGGAGCAGCCCGGUAGCUCGUCGGGCUCAUAACCCGAAGGUCGUCAGUUCAAAUCUGGCCCCCACAACCA
rnacentral:tRNA from 1 species